rnacentral:rRNA from 1 species
GACGAACGCUGGCGGCGUGCUUAACACAUGCAAGUCGAACGGAAAGGCCCUGCUUGCAGGGUGCUCGAGUGGCGAACGGGUGAGUAACACGUGGGUGAUCUGCCCCUUACUUUGGGAUAAGCCUGGGAAACUGGGUCUAAUACUGGAUAGGACCAUGCUGUAGGUGGUGUGGUGGAAAGAUUAGUUUCGGUAAGGGAUGAGCUCGCGGCCUAUCAGCUUGUUGGUGGGGUAAUGGCCUACCAAGGCGUCGACGGGUAGCCGGCCUGAGAGGGUGGACGGCCACAUGGGGACUGAGAGACGGCCCAGACUCCUACGGGAGGCAGCAGUGGGGAAUAUUGCACAAUGGGCGCAAGCCUGAUGCAGCGACGCCGCGUGGGGGAUGACGGCCUUCGGGUUGUAAACUCCUUUCAGCCAUGACGAAGCCCUUGUGGUGACGGUAGUGGUAGAAGAAGCACCGGCUAACUACGUG